AUGAUUCUACUAGAAAGCUGUCUGUGACAACCAUCUUAACCUGGACGACUUUUUUGUGGAUACUUUAAUGUGAAUGUAUUUCCAGGCCAUAGUAAGCUUGUGGGUUGGUGCUGUGAUUAGUAGCUGGUGCAAUUUCAUAACUGUCUUGUAUGUUGGUCAUUUUCUACUAGAGGAGGACGAUAAGUUUCUAGAUAAGGUUUGAGCUACAGUUCAGGAAGAGGAAUGUCAAGCCCUUGCUGCAUUUGGUGCCUGUUUCCAAUAUUAAUAAUUGUUUGAAGAAGCAUUUUCGAGACCUUUAAAAUGUCGUGAUCUUUGAAUUUAUAUAAUUCUGUUUGGUUGCAGUUAAUUUUACAAGCGUGUUUUCAUUGUUGGUGGAAUCAGACUUGAAUAAUAUGGGAUUUAUGUGCUUUAAGAUAUGAAUGGGAUUUAUUGUUGCUUUAAGAUA